UGUUGCAUAUUAACGUGUGUCUGUGAUUUCAUGCAGAGUCCAGCUAUGUGUAGCUAGUAUCAGAAGCUCUCUGUCUGCACUGUAUGCAACAGAUAAUAUAAACAAAGCAGUCACCUGUCAGCUGACCAGACCAGGACCCCAGUAGAACUGUGCAAGUACCUGCUCUCCCCUGACAGUUAUUGUUUUUGGACUGUUCUGCAGAAAUAGUGUUCAGACCAGGUUUUCUGCACGCUUACAGCGUCUGAAGGACCAUCAUGAAAAAUGCUUAUCCAAGUACACGGAGUGGGAGACUAACCAAACACAGUCCUCAAGACUGCCACACCAAAGAAGGGUGAAUACCACACCACAGGAGACAUCAUCUGAGUUAAUCCCACCCUCCAACAGCUUGCCCUUAGGAAGACCUCAUAAAGAGGAGGAGGCCUCAUCAGGACCAUCUCCUGAGGUCCUGGCACCUUGCAAUAGUUUGGUAAGUAU